rnacentral:rRNA from 1 species
AUGAUGGGUGGGCCCUGUUGGGCGUGGGGGUGGGUGGGCCCUGUUGGGCGUGGGGGGCAGAUAUUGAGGUGGAGUUGGCUAACGUUUUGGUGCAAAUGGAUUUCGUCCACGGAUGAACACUUAGGUUUCGCACCAGCGCAAGCGACCUCCUCCUCCUCCCUUUCCCAUUCGUCCUCCCUCCUAGCCGCCGCCGCCUCCCCUCCUUCCUCCUCCUCCUCUCUCGCCAGUGCCGCCUGGCCGUUGCUGCCUCCUCCUUGGUGCUCAAGGGGACGAGCACGAGAGGUCGCCACACUGCACUACCUCGUCCAGGGUGGGUGCUGA